UAGGUGUCAAGCCGUUGAAAGCGUACCACGCGUAAAGCUCAACCCUACGCCAUCUAUUAAAGCCAUAAUUGUAUUAGUCGGACUGAUAGAAUAUAGAGGUGAUCCAGUACGAUUUGAGCAGCAUGCUCGAAAUCAUAAUAUAUAGAACUAGGAUUCAACGUCCCCGUUGGUGGCGCUGUAAUGAUGUCGCCACCUGUCAGCCUAGCCGAUCGACUUCAACUUGAUGUAUGCACAGCGGGAAAACAGCGAGGAUUAUCCAUAUCUGAAUUCAAAAAUUAAAACAGGACAACGUUUAAGAAAAUCUUCUUCGCGUGGGUAACUAUUUAGGGGUGCACGCUUUUAAAAGGAAGCUACCGUACGCGAGCAUCGUAGUCUUGUUUCAAGCGUCAUUUUACAAGAGUUGAACACAGUUCGUCCCUAUCAGUUCUACGAGCAAAUAUUGAAUCUUUUAAUGGUUGUGCGUGGCGAUACAGCAUGUAUCGUCUGUGUGGAUUGUAGAAAGGAAGGAAACUGCUUUAGAUGUUUGUUAUACCUUAAAUUCCUUUCCGUCUGGAUCUUCAACAAGACACAGUCCUUAAAUAGAAUAUACAGUAGGAUAUUGAGAACUAAACUAAGCUCUAAUGCAAGGACGUGAACCGAAGGAAAAGAACGAAAUUCACUACGAACAAACGGGGAGCUGCCAAAGAGGCGCGACGGCCAGCUGCUGACCCUAUUGGUACGCCAUUCUGUCACACUGGACUCUCUUUACCGAUGACAAAACAACAGUAACUGCUAGCAUAAUACCGAAUGGCCCCUGGGUAAAGAAAGUCAGUUAAAAAAAACUCCACUCAUCAGCCUCCAUCCUUAGAGAAGGAGGGCCGGAUCCCGCGUUCGUGUUCGCCGCUUCCAACGCUCAUUUAUCCUUCAUUAGUGCGCUGAUGCGAGAUGUCUCGGAAUGACUCAAGCACUGGGCGUAGAACACCACGAAGGUGGAACCCUUCAAAGUGAAAGUUCCUCUACUCUUCUGGAUUCAACAGGUGCAUUAAUUGUUGCCAUUACCAUGAACUGUCAAGACAGAGAUCUGCUGUAAUAGCCUCUAACAACAAAAGUAAUUGCCACUGAAAAAAAGAGAACCCUGAUGUUCUCUGCAAGAGACUCUACCAGCAAAAUCAAUCCCUUCGUAGAUUCAUUUUCGAAAGGUGUCGC